rnacentral:rRNA from 1 species
CCUACGGGUGGCAGCAGUGGGGAAUAUUGGACAAUGGGGGGAACCCUGAUCCAGCCAUGCCGCGUGUGUGAAGAAGGCCCUCGGGUUGUAAAGCACUUUCAGUGAGGAAGAACGCCUGGUGGUUAAUACCCAUCAGGAAAGACAUCACUCACAGAAGAAGCACCGGCUAACUCCGUGCCAGCAGCCGCGGUAAUACGGAGGGUGCGAGCGUUAAUCGGAAUUACUGGGCGUAAAGCGCGCGUAGGUGGCUUGAUAAGCCGGUUGUGAAAGCCCCGGGCUCAACCUGGGAACGGCAUCCGGAACUGUCAAGCUAGAGUGCAGGAGAGGAAGGUAGAAUUCCCGGUGUAGCGGUGAAAUGCGUAGAGAUCGGGAGGAAUACCAGUGGCGAAGGCGGCCUUCUGGACUGAAACUGACACUGAGGUGCGAAAGCGUGGGUAGCAAACAGGAUUAGAUACCCUUGUAGUC